rnacentral:lncRNA from 1 species
GAAGAAAGAGAAAGAAGAAAGAGGAGCAAAACGCUGAAAGUGGAUUUUAACUUAAAUCAGAUAACUGAUGAGUUGUCAUUGUCUUCUGUGAGGUGGAAACAUGGAUAAUUUCCGGAUGCAUCGCUAUAGCAGAUUUUCUGACUCCAGAAGUGACAGCGAUGAACCCAAUCUCUCUAACGCCAGUGAUGACAGCAAUUCAAGCAUUGGAAUACCU